rnacentral:rRNA from 1 species
GAUGAACGCUGGCGGCGUGCCUAAUACAUGCAAGUCGAGCGAACAGACGAGGAGCUUGCUCCUCUGACGUUAGCGGCGGACGGGUGAGUAACACGUGGAUAACCUACCUAUAAGACUGGGAUAACUUCGGGAAACCGGAGCUAAUACCGGAUAAUAUAUUGAACCGCAUGGUUCAAUAGUGAAAGACGGUUUUGCUGUCACUUAUAGAUGGAUCCGCGCCGCAUUAGCUAGUUGGUAAGGUAACGGCUUACCAAGGCAACGAUGCGUAGCCGACCUGAGAGCGUGAUCGGACACACUGGAACUGAGACACGGUCCAGACUCCUACGGGAGGCAGCAGUAGGGAAUCUUCCGCAAUGGGCGAAAGCCUGACGGAGCAACGCCGCGUGAGUGAUGAAGGUCUUCGGAUCGUAAAACUCUGUUAUUAGGGAAGAACAAAUGUGUAAGUAACUAUGCUCGUCUUGACGGUACCUAAUCAGAAAGCCACGGCUAACUACGUG